AUUGAACGCUGGCGGCAGGCCUAACACAUGCAAGUCGAACGAGUGGCGGACGGGUGAGUAAUGUAUGGGAAACUGCCUGAGGGAGGGGGAUAACUACUGGAAACGGUAGAUAAUACCGCAUAAACACGGCUGUGACGCAAUGGGAUUAGAUAGUAGGGGGGGUAAAGGCUCACCUAGACGAAGAUCCCUAGCGGGUCUGAGAGGAUGACCAGCCACACUUGAACUGUGACACGGUACAGACUCCUACGGGAGGCAGCAGUGGGGAAUAUUGCACAAUGGGCGCAAGCCUGAUGCAGCCAUGCCGCGUGUAUGAAGAAGGCCUUCGGGUUGGAAAGUACUUUCAGCGGGGAGGCGUUACCCGCAGAAGAAGCACCGGCUAACUCCGUGCCAGCAGCCGCGGUAAUAC
rnacentral:rRNA from 1 species